CCCCUUAUAUCCUGGGCUACACACGUGCUACAAUGGUUAAGACAAUAGGUUGCAAGCUUGUAAAAGUAAGCUAAUCCUUUAAACUUAAUCUCAGUUCAGAUUGUAGGCUGCAACUCGCCUACAUGAAGGUGGAAUCGCUAGUAAUCGCCGGUCAGCUAUACGGCGGUGAAUUCGUUCCCGGGCCUUGUACACACCGCCCGUCACACCAUGGGAGUCGGCCAUGCCCCAAGUCGUUACCUUAACCUAUUUGGAGGGGGAUGCCGAAGGCAGGGUCGGUGACUGGGGUGAAGUCGUAACAAGGUAGCCGUACUGGA
rnacentral:rRNA from 14 species